UACGUAGGCAGCGAGCGUUGUUCGGAGUUACUGGGCGUAAAGCGUGCGUAGGCGGUGUCUUAAGUUUGUUGUGAAAUCUCCCGGCUUAACCGGGAGGGUGCGGCGAAUACUGAGAUGCUGGAGUGCCGGAGAGGUAAGCGGAAUUCCUGGUGUAGCGGUGAAAUGCGUAGAUAUCAGGAGGAACACCGGUGGCGAAGGCGGCAUCCUGGACCGGUAUUGACGCUGAGGCGCGAAAGCUAGGGGAGCAAACGGG
rnacentral:rRNA from 1 species